CUCCAGACUCCUACGGGAGGCAGCAGUGGGGAAUAUUGCACAAUGGGGGAAACCCUGAUGCAGCGACGCCGCGUGAGCGAUGAAGUAUUUCGGUAUGUAAAGCUCUAUCAGCAGGGAAGAAGAUGACGGUACCUGACUAAGAAGCCCCGGCUAACUACGUGCCAGCAGCCGCGGUAAUACGUAGGGGGCAAGCGUUAUCCGGAUUUACUGGGUGUAAAGGGAGCGUAGACGGCGGCGCAAGCCAGAUGUGAAAGCCCGGGGCUCAACUCCGGGACUGCAUUUGGAACUGUGUGGCUGGAGUGUCGGAGAGGCAGGCGGAAUUCCUAGUGUAGCGGUGAAAUGCGUAGAUAUUAGGAGGAACACCAGUGGCGAAGGCGGCCUGCUGGACGAUGACUGACGUUGAGGCUCGAAAGCGUGGGGAGCAAACAGGAUUAGAUACCCCGGUAC
rnacentral:rRNA from 1 species